CUGGCAGCUGAGCCCUCUUCGUCAGGAGUUCUCAAUGGCCCCCAAGGUGCCUUUGUUUCCUCAAGGGGUUUUCAUAGCAUCCUCAGCUGUGGAAGGCAAUGUAUCGCAUCCUGUAUUACCUUCCCCUGACCUCAUAGCUUCCCAAAACAGGAACAAUCAUGGGCUUUGAAGAAUGAAGAUGUGGAGACCUGGAGACAGGUGGCACCUCGUGCUUCCUCCGAAGGGAGAGCCCAUUUCCUAACAGCUGGAUCAAAGGCAUGAAAUGAACAUGGAGUCCCUGAAGAUGAAGAGAAGUUACAGGAAUGCAGAUGUGAUUCCUAUGGAUGAGGGUAACCUAGAGGCUAGAAGAACAAUAGGACAGAAGAAGCCUGGGUCCCUG
rnacentral:lncRNA from 1 species